rnacentral:lncRNA from 1 species
AGAAAUUUUAUUUUGGCCAGGAGCUGAAGUUGGUUGUUUAGUAGUAGUAGUUUGAGUAGUGACCGAAGUAGUAGUCUGGUGUGGUAAUUGGGGCAGCUGUGGUCUCUUGUGGAGCUGGGGAAGACGGUGGAGCUGGUGUAGUUGCAGAAGGUGUGGGUGGGGCAGCUGUGGUCUCUGGUGGAGCUGAGGAAGAUGGUGGAGCUGGUGUAGUUGCAGGAGGUGUGGGUGGGGCAGCUGUGGUCUCUGGUGGAGCUGAGGAAGAUGGUGGAGCUUGUGUAGUUGCAGAAGGUGUGGGUGGGGCAGCUGUGGUGUCUUGUGGAGCUGGGGAAUUCACUGGUGCUAAUGUAGCUACAGAAGAGCUUGUGUUAACAUUUUCUCUUGAAGAUAUGGUGGUGGCAUUCUGGGGAAGAAAAGUCACAUUUGGAAGGGUAGUAAUUUUGGUGGCUGCUUAGGCCUACAGCGUUUGUGCAGACAUUUAUAGGACUUUCUAAUGAACGGCUUCUGGUGAGCUAGCAGUCCAGGAU